rnacentral:rRNA from 1 species
GACGAACGCUGGCGGCGUGCUUAACACAUGCAAGUCGAACGGAAAGGCCCUGCUUUUGUGGGGUGCUCGAGUGGCGAACGGGUGAGUAACACAUGAGUAACCUGCCCUUGACUUUGGGAUAACUUGAGGAAACUGGGGCUAAUACCGGAGAGGAGCUCCUGCUGCAUGGGGGGGGUUGGAAAGUUUCGGCGGUGGGGGAUGGACUCGGGGGUUACCAGCUUGUUGGGGGGGUACUGGCUUACCAAGGGAUUGGAGGGUAGCCGGCAUGAGAGGGUGACCGGCCACAUUGGGACUGAGAGACGGCGCAGACUCCUACGGGAGGCAGCAGUGGGGAAUAUUGCACAGUGGGCGGAAGCCUGAUGCAGCAGCGCCGCGUGCGGGAUGACGGCCUUCGGGUUGUAAACCGCUUUCGCCUGUGACGAAGCGUGAGUGACGGUAAUGGGUAAAGAAGCACCGGCUAACUACGUG